rnacentral:rRNA from 1 species
UUGGCCCAGAUCGUUUACCGUGAAAAAAUUAGAGUGUUCAAAGCAGGCAGAUUCAAUUUUCUGCCACCGAAUACAUUAGCAUGGGAUAAUGGAAUAGGACCCUGUCCUCCUAUUUUCAGUUGGUUUUGGCAGCGCGAGGACUAGGGUAAUGAUUAAUAGGGAUAGUUGGGGGCAUUAAUAUUUAAUUGUCAGAGGUGAAAUUCUUGGAUUUAUGAAAGAUUAACUUCUGCGAAAGCAUCUGCCAAGGAUGUUUUCAUUAAUCAAGAACGAAAGUUAGGGGAUCGAAGACGAUCAGAUACCGUCGUAGUCUUAACCAUAAACGAUGCCGACCAGCGAUUAGGAGACGUUGAAUACAAAACACCACCAUCGGCGCGGUCGUCCUUGGCGUUCGUGUCACGCACGAG